UAUUACUGAUAGGAAUUUGCUGCGAUUCGCCCUUAGAGUUUGAUCCUGGCUCAGAUUGAACGCUGGCGGCAUGCCUAACACAUGCAAGUCGCGCGCGAAAGGGAGCAAUCCCAAGUAGAGCGGCGGACGGGUGCGUAAUACGUAGGAAUCUACCUCGUAGUGGGGGACAACCCGGCGAAAGCCGGGCUAAUACCGCAUACGACCUAUGGGUGAAAGCGGGGGAUCGCAAGACCUCGCGCUAUGGGAUGAGCCUGCGUCGGAUUAGCUAGUUGGUGAGGUAAAGGCUCACCAAGGCGACGAUCCGUAGCUGGUCUGAGAGGACGACCAGCCACACUGGGACUGAGACACGGCCCAGACUCCUACGGGAGGCAGCAGUGGGGAAUAUUGGACAAUGGGGGCAACCCUGAUCCAUCAAUGCCGCGUGUGUGAAGAAGGCCUUCGGGUUGUAAAGCACUUUCGGUGGGGACAAACAAGGUGGCGCUAACAUCGCCGCCUCUGAUGGUACCCAAAGAAGAAGCACCGGCUAACUCUGCGCCAGCAGCCGCGGUAAUACAGAGGGUGCAAGCGUUAAUCGGAAUUACUGGGCGUAAAGCGUACGUAGGUGGUUUGUUAAGUCAGGUGUGAAAUCCUUGGGCUCAACCUGAGAAUUGCACUUGAAACUGGCGAACUAGAGUGUGGUAGACGGUAGUGGAACUCCCGGUGUAGCGGUGAAAUGCGUAGAUAUCUCGAAGAACACCAGUGGCGAACGCUGCUACCUGGACCAACACUGACACUGAGGUACGAAAGCGUGGGCAGCAAACAGGAUUAGAUACCUGGUAGUCACACAUAAACGAUGAGAACUAGACGUCGGGAGCUCAUCUACUGUGUCGCUAGCUAACGCAUAGUGUCCGACUGGAGAGUUCGCGCUAAGCUAAACUCAACGAUUGACGGUGACCGCAAAAGCUGUGGAACAUGUGGUUCACUCCGAUGGCACCGCGGAAC
rnacentral:rRNA from 1 species